rnacentral:siRNA from 1 species
UUUGAGAAGUGCCGUGAAAAAA